UACAGAGGGGGCAAGCGUCGUUCGGAAUUACUGGGCGUAAAGGGCGCGUAGGCGGCCUGUUAAGUCGAACGUGAAAUCCCCGGGCUCAACCCGGGAACUGCGUCCGAUACUGGCAGGCUUGAAUCCGGGAGAGGGAUGCGGAAUUCCAGGUGUAGCGGUGAAAUGCGUAGAUAUCUGGAGGAACACCGGUGGCGAAGGCGGCAUCCUGGACCGGCAUUGACGCUGAGGCGCGAAAGCGUGGGGAGCAAACGGG
rnacentral:rRNA from 1 species